GGAGGCGUACCCAAGCGGCUGAAGGGGUCGGUCUUGAAAACCGAUAGUGGGGCUCUGCUCCAGCCAGAGUUCGAAUCUCUGCGCCUCCGCCA
rnacentral:tRNA from 1 species